UACGUAGGGUGCAAGCGUUGUCCGGAAUUAUUGGGCGUAAAGAGCUCGUAGGCGGUUUGUCGCGUCUGCUGUGAAAACCUAAGGCUCAACCUUGGGCUUGCAGUGGGUACGGGCAGACUAGAGUGCGGUAGGGGUGACUGGAAUUCCUGGUGUAGCGGUGGAAUGCGCAGAUAUCAGGAGGAACACCGAUGGCGAAGGCAGGUCACUGGGCCGCAACUGACGCUGGAGGAAGCGAAAGCAUGGGAGCGACAGG
rnacentral:rRNA from 1 species